UGAUUUGCACGCCUUCCCAAGCCCAUAAGAAAAUUGUCCGGUUUAAUAUCGCGAUGCAAAAAUGAUUUAGAAUGAACAAACUCAAUGCGAUUUAUCUGCAGUAAAAAUCAAAAUAGCCAUGUCAUCACCAAAUUCAGGUAGGAUUACAAAGGUCAAAAUAAGAAACAUUAUAAGUGUUAACCAUUUGAUCUGCAAGCAUCAGAACUGUCUUCAGGGAAAGUUUCCUGCUGCAAAAGUUAAAUAAAUCUUCAAGGCUGGGUCCGAGCAAAUCCAUGACAAGAACAUUGUAAUCUCCCUCCACACCAAACCAUCUCACAUUUGGAAUUCCAGCUACAACAGAAGUAUCGCAAUUAGAACCCCCUAAUCAUAGAAAUGUAGUCAAAAGGAGAGUAAAGAGAGAAGGUUUGUUUUUAAAAGUUCAGGUAGGAUUACUAACGUUAAAAUAAGAAACAUUAUGUGUUAACCAUUUGAUCUGCAAGCAUCAGAACUGUCUUCAGGGAAAGUUUCCUGCUGCAAAAGUUAAAUAAAUCUUCAAGACUGGGUCCGAGCAAAUCCAUGACUAGAACAU
rnacentral:lncRNA from 1 species